rnacentral:lncRNA from 1 species
AGGUAAGAUAAGAUGGAAAUUCGUAUUAUUGCCUCCUUGCUUAUUUACAUAUAGCUUUAUAUAGAAAUUCCUAAGAUAGAAUUGGUAUAAAAUCUGUUAUAGGAAUAUUCUAGUAACAAAAUUUGUUUUGCAUGUUUGAGCUCUGAGAAUUCAUAUACGACAAGCAGGAUUGGGCUCCUAAUUCCUAAAUUCUUCUUCCCGCAAUGCCCUCAAGUCGUGUAGUCCUCCAGGUAAGUUGGCUUUUUCACCCUUCUCUUAUUCUUGGUCUCUCCUUCCUCCUGCACCCUUGCCAUUGGUGCUUCCUGCGUAUUCCUAUCAUUGCAUACCUUAGGUGUUGUGACAUAAUCAUGGGUUUCUUACCUUAGGUGCUGUGAUGAUGAUCAGAUGAGCUGUGAUUUAGGUAGAUUCAUGCCGCACACGAUUCAAGUUGUGUCAAAGUGUAAGCACACAUAGAUUAACUCGACCACGAUUUCUCAUGAAUGCAGUGCCACCUUUUAUUUGCCUUGCAACUGUGAAACUUCCCUUUGUUCAGAUUAUCUCGGUUUCAAACUGAGUAUGUUAGUAACUUGAAUGUCUCCCAUGUUCCUUGUCAUACUCUCACCUCAUCAACAAGCAUGCUGCAUCUAUAAUAAUUAAUCACACCAGUCUAUGAAUCAAUUAACAAAAGUAAAAACUAGACGGUCAGUGAAAAAGUCAAUUGUUGUCCCUCAAGC